rnacentral:rRNA from 1 species
GGAUCCAGACUUUGAUUAUGGCUCAGGAUGAACGCUAGCUACAGGCUUAACACAUGCAAGUCGAGGGGCAGCGGUAUCGGAAGCUUGCUUUCGGUAGCCGGCGACCGGCGCACGGGUGAGUAACGCGUAUCGAACCUGCCUCAUACUCGGGAAUAGCCUUGCGAAAGUAAGAUUAAUGCCCGGUGUUUUCAGAGUCCCGCAUGAGGCUUUGAACAAAGAUUUAUCGGUAUGAGAUGGCGAUGCGUCCCAUUAGCUUGUUGGCGGGGUAACGGCCCACCAAGGCAUCGAUGGGUAGGGGUUCUGAGAGGAAGGUCCCCCACAUUGGAACUGAGACACGGUCCAAACUCCUACGGGAGGCAGCAGUGAGGAAUAUUGGUCAAUGGGCGGAAGCCUGAACCAGCCAAGUAGCGUGCAGGAAGACGGCCCUCCGGGUUGUAAACUGCUUUUAGUUGGGAAUAAAACGGGGCUCGUGAGCCCCCUUGCAUGUACCAUCAGAAAAAGGACCGGCUAAUUCCGUGCCAGCAGCCGCGGUAAUACGGAAGGUCCGGGCGUUAUCCGGAUUUAUUGGGUUUAAAGGGAGCGCAGGCGGACCUUUAAGUCAGCUGUGAAAUACGGCGGCUCAACCGUCGAACUGCAGUUGAUACUGGAGGUCUUGAGUGCACACAGGGAUGCUGGAAUUCAUGGUGUAGCGGUGAAAUGCUCAGAUAUCAUGAAGAACUCCGAUCGCGAAGGCAGGCAUCCGGGGUGCAACUGACGCUGAGGCUCGAAAGUGCGGGUAUCAAACAGGAUUAGAUACCCUGGUAGUCCGCACAGUAAACGAUGAAUACUCGCGGUUUGCGAUACAGUGUAAGCCGCCAAGCCAAAGCGUUAAGUAUUCCACCUGGGGAGUACGCCGGCAACGGUGCAACUCAAAGGAAUUGACGG